rnacentral:lncRNA from 1 species
GACACCAUUUUUUAGUGGAAGAAGACGUCAAGUCUUCUGAAGACUUAAGGGGCCGACCAUUGGCAUUGAGUCUCCGUAUGCCGCAUUCAUUUCGUGUAUUACAAUUUCAAAACAACUUAGAUUCCUGACACCGAUUUUUACACAUGAUAGGGCAUCUGAAUCAUUUAAUUUGUAAAUUAUGAUUGUAAAACAAUCACUAUCGUAAAUAUGAC